GACGAACGCUGGCGGCGUGCUUAACACAUGCAAGUCGAACGGAGAGGCCCGGUUUUUGUGGGGUGCUCGAGUGGCGAACGGGUGUGUAACACGUGAGUAACCUGCCCUUGACUGUGGGAUAACUUCAGGAAACUGGGGCUAAUACCGGAUAGGAGCUCCUGAUGCAUGGGGGGGGUUGGAGAGUUUCGGCGUUUGGGGAUGGACUCGCGGUCUAGCAGCUUGUUGGUGGGGUAGUGGAUUACCAGGGCUUUGACGGGUAGCCGGCCUGAGAGGGUGACCGGCCACAUUGGGACUGAGGUACGGCCCAGACUCCUACGGGAGGCAGGAGUGAGGGAUAUAGCACAAUGGGCGGAAGCCUGAUGCAGCAACGCCGGGUGCGGGAUGACUGCCGUCGGGUUGUAAACCGCUUUCGCCUGUGACGAACCGUGAGUGACGGUAAUGGGUAAAGAAGCACCGGCUAACUACGUG
rnacentral:rRNA from 1 species